rnacentral:tRNA from 1 species
GCCAGAGUGGCGGAACUGGUAGACGCGCUGGAUUCAAAAUCCAGUAUAUUUUACAUAUGUGAGGGUUCGAGUCCCUCCUCUGGUA